GAAUGUUUAAAAAUGAAUAGGUAGCGGUUUUCCAUGUCAUCGCACAUCAAGUGCAAGUUGUUUGUUGCGGAGAACAAAAUCUUUCGGAAGAUGAUAGAAAUAUGAAGUGUGCAUGCUGCCACUGGGGGUGCUCCGUAUGAACAGUUGUAUACAGCUAGUAUCGAGUAUAAACCAACCAGUUGAGUACCCAGCAUCGCCCGAUCUUCCAACCUAAACCUUGUGGGAAAGAUACAAGCCUGUCCAUCUGAAAGCUUACAAUAAACCACAUCAAAUUCUCGUGGACUCCAGCACUCGUCGUUCCGUUCUUUUGCACAUGUUUCAAUGACCCUGUUAAUUUCACCAAAGAUUAAAGUGUUUCUUGGCCUGCGCAGACAGUUCUCCUUCUUAUUAACAUAUCCCUUCAUGUAUUGUGUACAAUUUAUAAAUGUCUUACGACCUACUAUAUGCUUCCUUUUAAACUCACUAAAACUGUUCUCAGCCUGGUCUGAAUAAGAGCAUAAAACAGAACCCAGAAGAACGAUUCCCAAAGUGAUCAGUAAGAACUGCACAGGAGACAUAAUGCC